GGCUACUCGACACUGCUGAUUGCAGCGUCAGCUGAGCGCAGGCGGUCUUUUAAGUCUAAUGUAGAAGCCUUCGGCUCAACCGAAGAAGUGCAUUGGAACUGGGAGACUUGAGUGCAGAAGAGGACAGUGGAACUCCAUGUGUAGCGGUGAAAUGCGUAGAUAUAUGGAAGAACACCAGUGGCGAAGGCGGCUGUCUGGUCUGCAACUGACGCUGAGGCUCGAAAGCAUGGGUAGCGAACAGGAUUAGAUACCCUGGUAGUCCAUGCCGUAAACGAUGAUUACUAAGUGUUGGAGGGUUUCCGCCCUUCAGUGCUGCAGCUAACGCAUUAAGUAAUCCGCCUGGGGAGUACGACCGCAAGGUUGAAACUCAAAAGAAUUGACGGGGGCCCGCACAAGCGGUGGAGCAUGUGGUUUAAUUCGAAGCUACGCGAAGAACCUUACCAGGUCUUGACAUCUUCUGACAGUCUAAGAGAUUAGAGGUUCCCUUCGGGGACAGAAUGACAGGUGGUGCAUGGUUGUCGUCAGCUCGUGUCGUGAGAUGUUGGGUUAAGUCCCGCAACGAGCGCAACCCUUAUUACUAGUUGCCAGCAUUAAGUUGGGCACUCUAGUGAGACUGCCGGGUGACAAACCGGAGGAAGGUGGGGACGACGUCAAAUCAUCAUGCCCCUUAUGACCUGGGCUACACACGUGCUACAUGGAUGGGUACAACGAGUCGCGAGACCGCGAGGUUUAAGCUUAAUCUUCUUAAAACCCAUUUCUCAGUUUCGGACUGUAAGGCUGCAACUCGCCCUACACGAAGUUCGGAAUCGACUUGUAAUCAGCAGAUCAGCAUGCCGCGGGUGAAUACGUUCUCCCCCCCGGGAUCAUUAG
rnacentral:rRNA from 1 species